UCAAAGCCCUAAAGGAGGAGAACGUUCAGAUGGUUCUUAUAAACCCCAACAUUGCUACUGUACAGACAUCAAAAGGGCUAGCAGACAAGGUCUGCUUCCUUCAGAUUACUCCUGAGUACAUCACCCAGGUUACCUCCAGGUGAUUAAAAACGAGCGUCCCGAUGGGGUCUUGUUGGCAUUUGGAGGGCAGACGGCCCUGAACUGUAGAGUGCAGCUGACGAAGCAGGGGAUCCUGGAGAAGUACAAAGUGCAGGUCCUGGUCACCCCUGUGGCCUCCAUUGAGAUGACGGAGGACAGGAAGAUCUUUGUAGAGAAGAUGGAGGAGAUUAAUGAACACGUAGCUCCAGGCCCUGGCUGCAGCCGAGAAGCUUGGUUACCCUGUUCUGGUGCGCGCUGCCUUUGCUCUAGGGAGACUGAGAUCUGGAUUUGCUGAUAAGGAGGAGCUGAAUUCUCUGGUGAUGCAGGCUUUCGCUCACACCUCGCAGGUCCUUGUCGACAAGUUCCUCAAGGGCUGGAAGGAAAUUGAGUAUGAAGUGGUCAGGGAUGCUUAUGACAACUGCAUUACAGUAUGUGUGCCUGGAGGUUUGCAUUUUGACCCUAGUGCUUGGUAGCAUACAUGGUCACCAUGGCCGUAACUAGCUAUGAGGACACCAAGGUUGUGUCCUCGGUUGUUCUUUUGCAUCAUCAAUUCUGGUAAACUACAAAAGACUCCUUAAUUUUCUCUGUUGGUUUGCCGUGUAACAUAGAUUUAGAGGUUCAAUAGUAAAUACCAAGCAGUCAUAAAUCGUGCCAGCUAUAGAUUGAAACCUAAGUUUGACCUCGGUAGAAUGUCAGCUCUGGUUGCAAUGCUGGUGGUCGCUGAUUGUCUGUCUUUACACACAGGUGUGUAACAUGGAGAAUGUUGACCCCCUCGGUAUCCACACUGGGGAGUCUGGCUCCCAGUCAAACCCUGAAUGACCACGAGUACAAUAUGCUGAGAAACACAGCCAUCGAAGUCAUCCGUCACCUGGGGAUUGUGGGAGAAUGUAACAUCCAAUUUGUAGUGCCAUCUGCUGAACAAGUGUGAGCUGCUGCCUACAGUCCAUGCACUUGAGAGUAUGGGAUUGUGACAGGCUGGCUCGCAGUGGUGAGGUGUGGUGACGUCACGGACCAGGAAGUACAGAAACCAAAACAAUGGAUGGGCGGGUGAAGCUGAGUGCAAUGGCACUCAGCAUAUUUAUUAAUAAAUCAAACAAAAGAUUUAACCAAAACAACAAAACAAAGGGCACGAGGGCCAAACGAAUAAACAGACAAACAACUACCUGGAUCACUUGACUGAACUUGGACGCAUCAGACCUGCUGGAAAAGAUGCUUCUUUAGCCGCAGCAACAACUACGAUACAGAAAGGGAUAGAUAAGGAUUUAACAAUUGAUGGGUACGGGAGAUGUACGGUUCCUUCACAGUCUUGCCUAAGCCAGCAUGUGAUUGUAAAUGUGCAUGCUCUGGGAAUCUCUGUAAGCACAUUUGUUUUGCAAGUUUAGUGUUAAGAAAAGGGCAGAUCCAUAAAAAGAACUUGGCUACGUUGAUCAUAGAGAACAGCGCAUAUGUUAUUGAUUGUGAAAACUUGUCAGUUUUUAUGGACAAUGGCUGCACUAGUGUUGUCAACAUGAAAACUGUUUAUUGCUCUUGUAAUACAAGCAGUUUUUGGGAACAGUGUGUUGUCAACAUGUUUUUAAAAUGCUAAAUGUUAAACAAACUGUACUUGAUAAUUCAGUUGAAGAAACAGAAAACACUCCAUUCGUCCAAACCACUCCUACACAUAAUCCAGAUUUACAGAAGUUGUUGUCGGAACUGCUUAACUGGAGCAAAUCCUCUAAUUGCAUCGAGGCUACAGAGUUAGAUAAAUCUACUGAGAGAGCGUGCAGGAUUGCUUUGGUCGGUUUUGUUCAUGUACGAAACACGAAAAAUAAUAGGCAAAAAAUGAAAGGAACAAAGGAUAGUGUGAGAGAACGUUAACUGGAGCACUUUCUGAAGGUGCAGGUAUGUGUCUUGGGCUACAGAGUCAUCCCAUUUUCAUGCUAGUUUAGGUCUUAACAUAAUUUAACUUAUUUGCUUAAUUGGACCAGUUUAACACAAGUCCCACAAGUUAAAAAGGAAGAAGCAGGGUUUCGAAAAAUAUAGGUAAACGUCCCCACGUGUUGCUACAACUGUUUAAAUAAUGUACCUGUAAUUUUUAUUUUCAUUGUUAACAUCCUGACAACUUUUUACACUUAUAACUGUUUCAAAGCUCUUUUCAAAAUGGCUGCUCUAGUGUACUGGGGUUUGAGAAUUAAAUGGAUUUAAAAAAAAUAAAACAAAAAAAGCAUAACAAGUGCUCUGGCUUUUAUGUUCUGUACCACAUCAUGGAUCAUUAUUCCUGUUACCUGUUUGACAAUGUGAGCAAUAAUCCUAACACUAUCAGUGCACUAGAGCGGACAUUUUGCAAAUAUCUUUGAAACAGACUUUAAAUGUAUAAGUGUAAAACGUUGUCAGGAUGUUAACAAUGAAAAGAAAAAUGACCAGUAAAUUUUUUUUUUUUUUAAACAGUUGUAGCAACAUGUGGGGACGCUGUAUUUUUUUGGAACCCCACUACUUACUCUAAACUGUUGAUGUUUUGUUCCUUGAGGGCCGCAGUGUCCUAACCACCAUUUGAAAACCACAAUAAUACAUGUUUGAGAUUGUAUGUUAUUGUAUGAGAUUAUAUGUACAUUGUUUGGCUUGUAAGUGUUUUUAUAGUGUUGCACACAAAUGUAUUUAAUGGAAUUUGACAUAGCUUUGUUGCAGGAACUCACUGACUUCGUGUCUGAAUCUUGCACAUUGUCUUUUUGAUUGUAUUUGCCUAAUUGUUUACUCAUUUUUGUCAAGUAACCACUACCCUGCAGUACAAAACGUACUCACAGCAAUGUACUUAAUGGGUAAAAGGUCUAUUCUGAUCUCAGUAAUACAUAUUGGUUGUUCCUUAUACUGUACAAGUCAAAAUGUUUAAUUGGUUCUUUUCUUAUUGCCUUUUUAAAAUAUGUAUAUGGUACAUUAAUUGCCUACCCAUUAAAAAUAAACUGCUUCCUACUUUCUAAA